rnacentral:rRNA from 1 species
AACAAACGCUGGCGGCGUGCCUAAUACAUGCAAGUCGAACGGGUAGCAAUACCAGUGGCGCACGGGUGAGGAAUACAUAGAUAAUCUGCCUUCGAGUCGGGGAUAACCAGUCGAAAGAUUGGCUAAUACCGGAUAAGACCACAAGAUCUGCGGAUCUAGGGGUUAAAGGUUUUUCGCUUGAAGAUGAGUCUAUGCGAGAUUAGCUAGUUGGUGAGGUAACGGCUCACCAAGGCGACGAUCUCUAACUGGUCUUAGAGGAUGAUCAGUCACACUGGAACUGAGACACGGUCCAGACUCCUACGGGAGGCAGCAGUAGGGAAUAUUGCGCAAUGGGGGAAACCCUGACGCAGCGACGCCGCGUGAGCGAUGAAGGCCUUCGGGUCGUAAAGCUCUGUCGUAUGGGAAUAACACAAUGAAUGUACCAUGCAAGAAAGGAUCGGCUAACUUCGUGCCAGCAGCCGCGGUAAAAC